rnacentral:lncRNA from 1 species
UUUGAGGGUUGAAAAUUAUGUUUAAGGUGGAGAUCAAUUUAUAGAUUUUUAGAUUAAUUUAUAGAUAAACAAUAUGUAAACUAAUAAUGCAUGCCUUGUAUGGAGAUCCAUAAAAAUUGGUUAGAUUUGUUUGACUUGUUUUUUUUUCUAAUUAUGGUGUGGUAAUCAUAUUGGUGUUUAGCUACUUUUAUUUAUUAAAUAGAGAGAAAAUAAGUACAACUUUCUGUUUAACUUCUGUUUUCUUAUGAAAUUGGUUUGCUGGUUUCAACAAGUCAAGACUGGAAUGCGUAUGUGUAAUACAUGGUGUAGCGUAAUGACUGCAGUCAUUCUCAUUUAUGAUCUGUUCCGUCUUAAGUGUAGCUUUGUUUCGUUUGGAGUUGAGCUUAGUGAUAUUUGAAUAUUUGUAUUAAUGGAUUGUUGAAUGAAAGGUAACAGGUUUACAAAAAUGAUACUAUAAGAGGCCAGAAACCAUACAAAGUUACUAGAAGAAACCUCUUCAAAUGUGAAAAAAAUACUCAAAUGCUAAACCUCUUCAUCAUAUAUUAGCAGGGCCGUGUUUGAAUAAAGGCCAAUAAAGCAUGUGUUUCAGGGCCGACAAGGAAUAUAUAAUUUUAGGGGCCAAUUGUAACAGAAAUCUCUUAUAGCUCCAUUGGUAACUGCUGCUGUUGUUUAGGUUACGGACCUGGGAUCAAACCUCCACAACUGCAUAUGUUAUUGUUUAUACAAUUUUUAAAAGUAAAUGGGCCACGAAAAAAAUUUGGCUUCUGGGCCAAUAAUGUUCAGGCACGGUUCUGUACAUUAGUAGCUACUUUCCCCGGAAUCAACUCCACUGACUCUUCAUCAACCUUCUCACUGUUGUUCAACACUUGAGUUUGACCACUGGUAGGUUUCUUAGCCACGGUCAUAGACUGCUGAUAACUAAUACCACCACAGAUUGUAACAAGGAGACAAACCAACCCAACCGGACUCGCAUGCUUAUCCCAAAUCAGAACAUUAAUCACAACAGUCAAGAACUUGUUCACAACCUCAGUCAAGAAUUCGUUUAUUAUCAGUAAAGAUUAUUUAUAAAGGUUAGAUCAAAGUUAUUAAGAAAAGUAAGAAGAGUAUAAGAUUUCCCAAUUUUAUCUAUAUUUUGCUUUUUUAAAUUUUGAUUCAAGUUAGAUUAACGUGACUGGAUAGAAAAUAUAAGCACAUAAAUGAGAUUGAUAUAAGAUUUUUUUUGUUGUUUUUAGACUGAUAAUAAAAAAUUCUUAAUUUACUUUUUGAUUUUUUUUCCUUGCUCACAAGUGGUAAUGAUACGGUGUUAACUAGAAGACAUAUUUACGAAAUUAAUAGCAAAUCAAAACAAAAAAGGUAAAGAAUAUGUCUUACUAAUGUGCAUCAUAUCCCUUAUAUAUUAGUUGAGAAACAUUACAAUUUACAACAUUGUUAUGUAGUCAUAUGUCACCAUGAGAAUGAAAUUCAGAAUUCUUAGAAAAAUAGGUUGGUUCAUCUUAUCUUAUAUUAUACUUUUUAUUAAACUAACUAUCAAAUUAAUGAAUAGUGUACAAAAGAAUAUUUUUGCACUUUCCUUAAAUAAAAAUUACGAAAUUACCUAAUAUGAUUAAUGUAUAUAUGACAAUUAAUGAUUAUGAAUAAUAAAUAUUUGAUAACAGUUUUUACAUUUUAUUUCUUUUUUGUUUAAUUUUAUAUUAUUAAGAUAUUAAGCAAUCACAUUACCAUAUAAUAAAAAUAAUUUUUUUCUAUAUUUUAUAUUUUGAAUCUUUAAAAUGACUAUAAAUUACUUAAAAUGUUUCACACUAAAAAUUUGUGAUCAAUGGUUUAACUCUUUUUUUAUAAUAACAAGAUACAAAUGAUCAUAAAUCGUACGAAUAUGAAGUCCUAUUUAAUAGACAUUCAUAUUAUAUAUUAAUAUAGUUUAAAAUUAAACUAUAUACAUAUUAAAACACAUAAAUAUGUUAAUUUCUAAAUUUGUAUUGAAAAAAUAUUGAAACCUUAAUAUUUUACUUUUGAAAUUUGCAUUGAAAAAAUUGCACAUUAAAAAUCAUUAGGCCUGAAUUCUACAAUUGAGCUUUUACAUGAAAUUUUGAAUUUCAUUUUUUUAGUCAAUUUUUGGUCCUGAGGGACGGUCGAGGCUAGGUUAGCCGAAAGAUGGUUAUCGGUUCAAGAACGCAAGGUGUCCCGUAUCAAUUGGUUAAAAAGCCUGAAAAAAAAUGUUGAAUUCUCAAUAGUAAAUAUUUAUAUUAAAAUAUACUAUAUAUCUAUGUACAUGUCAUUGAACUUUAGUUAUAUAUCUUAUUGAAUAAAUAAAUGGAUAUGUCAUUGAACUUUAGUUAUAUAUCUUAUUAAAUAAAUAAAAUGAUAGUUUUGAUUUAUUUACCAAAACAGUAUCGUAAAUAAACAAGAAGUAUUGUUUUGAUUUAUGAGUUUAUUCUAAUUUAAUUAGAUAUAUAAUACAUAAAUGAACACAAAUAAAUAACAAUAUAUGAAAAUUAUUUUUAUAUAUGAUCAUCACGCGCAAUUGCGCGGGUCUUAGUCUAGUAGAAUAUGAAAGUGUCUAAACACAAAUACAAUAUGCUUAGUUUGUAUUUGUUGGACUGCAAAUAAGCAUGUGUUAUUCAUACAAAGCGAAAAUAGAUAUUAGGAUGUAUUAAAUAAAAUGGUUAUUCAAGUUUUUUAAAUCUUUGAUGUAGAUUCUCGAGAUAACUUAUGGCUUGCCGCACCUACGCGUACAUUCUUCUUGGCUCAUGUAGCACAUGUUUUGAGCCUUAACUUUGGAGGAACAGCAAGAACAAGUGUGGUUUGGUUUUAGUUCGUGGCAUGGGGUCUGCUUGCAAGUUGGUUUAGCUCCAACACCCUGACCAUCGACAACUAUAUAAACAGAAAGUAACAACAAUAUCAUUUGGAGGAAAAAAAAAUUAUCAAAAAUAUUAUAAUGUGAUUACAAUGGUGAAAAAGAUAUUUGAUGAACAAAAGAAAACUAUUAUAAACGCAUACGUUCAUGAAGAGGGAAUAAAGCAAUCAAUAUGAUGCAAAAGAUAGUGAACUGUGAUGAUGACAUAUUGUUCUCUGUAAUAUUCUUACAAUACAAACACGUUUUUUUCUUUUGAAUCUUUACGUUUACUGGUUUGAGGGUUGAAAAUUAUGUUUAAGGUGGAGAUCAAUUUAUAGAUUUUUAGAUUAAUUUAUAGAUAAACAAUAUGUAAACUAAUAAUGCAUGCCUUGUAUGGAGAUCCAUAAAAAUUGGUUAGAUUUGUUUGACUUGUUUUUUUUUCUAAUUAUGGUGUGGUAAUCAUAUUGGUGUUUAGCUAUUUUUAUUUAUUAAAUAGAGAGAAGAUAGGUACAACUUUCUGUUUAACUUCUGCUUUCUUAUGAAAUUGGUUUGCUGGUUUCAACAAGUCAAGACUGGGAUGCGUAUGUGUAGUAC